AGCAGCCGCGGUAAUUCCAGCUCCAAUAGCGUAUAUUAAAGUUGUUGCAGUUAAAAAGCUCGUAGUUGAAUUUCGGGAUCAAUCUAUCGGUCGUGCAAUAGUACGUACUGAUUUUAUUGAUUCCUCCCCUCUGAUGAACUAUGAUGUCAUUAAUUUGGUGUCAUAGGGAAUCAGGACUGUUACUUUGAAAAAUUAGAGUGUUUAAAGCAGGCUCACGCUUGAAUACAUUAGCAUGGAAUAACGAAAUAGGACGUUUGAUUCUAUUUUGUUGGUUUCUAGGAUCGACGUAAUGAUUAAUAGGGAUAGUUGGGGGCAUUAGUAUUCAAUUGUCAGAGGUGAAAUUCUUGGAUUUAUUGAAGACUAACUACUGCGAAAGCAUUUGCCAAGGAUGUUUUCAUUAAUCAAGAACGAAAGUUAGGGGAUCGAAGACGAUCAGAUACCGUCGUAGUCUUAACCAUAAACUAUGCCGACUAGGGAUCGGAUGAUGUUAAUUUUUAAUGACUCAUUC
rnacentral:rRNA from 1 species